CGCAACCCUCAUCCUUUGUUGCCAGCACAUUAUGGUGGGAACUCAAAGGAGACUGCCGGUGAUAAACCGGAGGAAGGUGGGGAUGACGUCAAGUCAUCAUGGCCCUUACGAGUAGGGCUACACACGUGCUACAAUGGCGUAUACAAAGAGAAGCGACCUCGCGAGAGCAAGCGGAACUCAUAAAGUACGUCGUAGUCCGGAUUGGAGUCUGCAACUCGACUCCAUGAAGUCGGAAUCGCUAGUAAUCGUAGAUCAGAAUGCUACGGUGAAUACGUUCCCGGGCCUUGUACACACCGCCCGUCACACCAUGGGAGUGGGUUGCAAAAGAAGUAGGUAGCUUAACCUUCGGGAGGGCGCUUACCACUUUGUGAUUCAUGACUGGGGUGAAGUCGUAACAAGGUAACCA
rnacentral:rRNA from 1 species